UCGCGGCUUAUCACCGGCAGUCCCCUUAGAGUGCCCAACUGAAUGAUGGCAACUAAGGGCGAGGGUUGCGCUCGUUGCGGGACUUAACCCAACAUCUCACGACACGAGCUGACGACAGCCAUGCAGCACCUGUCUUGUCGUUCCCGAAGGCACCCCCGCAUCUCUGCAGGGUUCGACAGAUGUCAAGGCCAGGUAAGGUUCUUCGCGUUGCAUCGAAUUGAGCCACAUACUCCACCGCUUGUGCAGGCCCCCGUCAAUUUCUUUGAGUUUCAGCCUUGCGACCGUACUCCCCAGGCGCAGGACUUAACGCGUUAGCUACGGGACGCACCCCCAACGGGAUGAACCCCAAGUCCUGAUCGUUUAGGGCUAGGACUAC
rnacentral:misc_RNA from 1 species